UAACCUGCCCAAGAGAUCGGGAUAACACCUGGAAACAGAUGCUAAUACCGGAUAACAACAGAUGAUGCCUAUCAACUGUUUAAAAGAUGGUUCUGCUAUCACUCUUGGAUGGACCUGCGGUGCAUUAGCUAGUUGGUAGGGUAACGGCCUACCAAGGCGAUGAUGCAUAGCCGAGUUGAGAGACUGAUCGGCCACAUUGGGACUGAGACACGGCCCAAACUCCUACGGGAGGCAGCAGCA
rnacentral:rRNA from 1 species